UUUAUUCCAUGCUUUCAUGAAAUGCGUCAUAUCACAACGAAUACACAUCAAACAUUUCAUCCCCGCUUGAGUUCACGCUAGCAAUCUCUUCCUCUUGCGGGUGAUUUUAGAGGGUUCUCGAAACGUCCUUCCCCUCCGGGUUAGACAUGACCCCAACAUUCCCUCUGUCAUAACUCGGCCCCGAAGGAGCUCUCAUUGGGCUUUCCUACAUGUACUCGCCCGACUAAUAAGGACUCAAUGACAGACUUACGGGCUAUUGAGGUCGCCUUGGUCCACCCAUCUCAUCACAAAAUCAACAAUUUAUGCAAUGCGUCACAUUCGUGAAACUAGUGCAAUCAUCC
rnacentral:lncRNA from 1 species